UUAAACAAAAAGAAAGAAGAAAGAAGACUUUUAACUUGACAGAUUCUCUUCAGCAGUGGGAGUCCACAGUUUUGAGGAAAGAGUAACAGGUACAUGUGGUAAAGAAGGCAGAGAACUACUUCCCCUGCUGCUUCUGCCACAAGUGGGAUUUAAGGUGCCCUGUGGAAUGGUAUUUGAAGAAAAACUGAUCAUGGGGAGGAACAAGAGAAAGCAGAGGUGCACAAGUGUGAGUUUUUCAUGCAGCAAGCAUGGGGUGGAGGAU